rnacentral:lncRNA from 1 species
AUCGGCUCAAGCUUUUGCAGCUCACAGAGGACUUAAUCAAUCUCCGGCCGAGUGAACCUUAAUGCAAGUUCGGUGGUUGUUGUUGCAUCUCCUUUUCCGUAUCCAUUCUCUAUCAAACGUUUGGCUACUGCACGCUUCUUUCUCUUAUAUUCUGAUUGAGCCCAUAUGGGAACAUGACCUGUCUCGCUGUCAUCUUUUAUCUUCUGCACCUUCCUCAC